GGGCACAGAGUAAAGCUCCUUUAUUUAUCCGGGCUCCCGGGUGCGUCGCCGCAGGGAAACUGAGGCACGGCCGCCAUGGCGCUGGGGACAACGGGGACCCGCAGCGGCAGCAGCCACCCCCCGAGGGUGGCACUGGGGACAAUGGGGACCCCCAGCUCGCCAUGGCCACCGCCCCCCGAGGGUGGCAUCGGCGACAACGGGGACCCCCAGCGCCCCGUGGCGCUGUCACUCGCUGUCCCCAGCCCGCCGGGUUCUUGUGGCACCUGCACGGCCCGGCCUGGCAGCUCCCUGAGCAGGACAGUGCCACUCGCCACAGUCCCCGCUGUCCUGUCCCUGCUGUUCCCACUGUCCUGUCCCCUGUCCCAUGUCUCGUGUCCCGCUGUCCCACCGUACUGUCCCAUGUCCCCUCUGUCCCUGCUAUCCCCACUGUCCUGUCCCUGCUGUCCCCUCUGUCCCACUGUCCUGUCCCCUGUGUCCUGCUGUCCCCGCUGUCCUGUCCUCAUUGUCCUGUCCCCUCUGUCCCCUGUUCUGUCCCCCUGUCCGGUCCCGUGUCCCGUCCCUGUCCCGUCCCUGCACUGUCCGUGCCCCGUCCGUGUCCGGUCCCGUCCCUGUCCGGUCCUUGUCCUGUCCCUGUUCCGUCCCUAUUUGGCCCCCUGUCCGGUCUCUGUCCUGUCCCGUGUCCCGUCUCUGUCCCGUGUCCGGUCCCUGUCCCUGCUGUCCGGUCCCGGUCCCUGUCCCUGCUGUCCGGUCCCGUGUCCGCUCCCGUGUCCGGUCCCGGUCCCGGUCCCGUGUCCGGUCCCGGUCCCGUGUGCGGUCCCGUGUCCGGUCCCGUGUCCGGUCCCUGUCCCUGCUGUCCGGUCCCUGUCCCCGCUGUCCGCUCCCGUGUCCGGUCCCGUGUCCGGUCCCGGUCCCGUGUCCGGUCCCGUGCGGCUCAGCCCACGGUGACGCUGAAGCCGCAGUGGAACCGGUUCCUGCGGUGGUUCAGGAAGGCGCCCAGGGCCAGCGUCACGGGCAGGGGGGGCAGCUUCUUCUCCAGGACCCCUCCCACGCUCCAGCUGCUGUCCAGGAGCCCUGCGGGGACAGCGGGGACCCCUGAGCCGCCGCCGCCGGGCGCGGGGGACAGAGGCCACCGGGGCGGGGCCGGCCCACCUCGGAACACGGCGUUGGCCCGCGGCAGGUUGAGCCGGUAGCCGAAGGCGAACGCGGUCUCCUGCAGGCGCGUGUUGGCCUCCAGCUCCACCCCCGCCUGCACCUGCGGGGACGCGGCGGUCACGGCGGCGUGGGGACCGCGGGGACAGAGAGGGGACAACGGGGACAGCGGGGGGAGAGCGUGGGGACAGUGUGGGGAGAGCGGGGACAGAGAGGGGACAACGGGGGGAGAGCGUGGGGACAGUGUGGGGACAGCGGGGACAGAGAGGGGAGAGCGUGGGGACAGUGAGGACAGCG
rnacentral:lncRNA from 1 species